rnacentral:lncRNA from 1 species
AGAAGCGCGCAGUGUGCUGUCUCGCAACACUCCUUUCGGUUUCUGCUGCAUGAGCAAUCUCCAGGAAGCGCAUGCGAGCUCGUCGACACGCAAGUCCGAAGGACACCUAUACUUGUUUUAAGGGUUUAGCAAGCUUUCCUGUUUUCCUAAACCGGAACGUUUCUUGAUUUUCGUUAAGGCCGCAUCAGCGUACUUUCCUCUCGUCAGGUCCACGUAGAGACAUGCGUGUGUCCCUCUAUCCUACACCCAGCAUUCAUCGCCGCUUUCGCUGUUCUGCCUCUUUAAUCGCCCCCAUCAAUCUCUCUCUGUAUAUACAUAUACAUAUAUACAUAUAUGUAUGUAUAUGCGUAUCUGUUUCUAUUUCGUUAUCUGUAUUUGGGUCGAUCUGCGGGAGUGUCGAUUCUAUAUCCUUUCCUAUAGAUGGGUACAUUCACAUGUUGAGGGCAAAGAAAUGUGCAGGGUUAUUUGGCUGCUAGAUUCAAGGUGAACACAUUUCCACAGCAUGCGCUUAGCCCCUGAGUAGAAUGAACGUGACUUUCCCGCCCACGUUUUCCCGAGUUGAGUUCACACUUUCUUUCACGCGCACCGAGGUUGCUGCCAAGAGAAGGCUGUGGGGUGUGAUUCUUGCGAGCGUUGUCGGCAGUUGAAUCGCGAAACUCUCCCAGAGAUGGGAGACUCGCCCUGAGGAAGUGGGGGUUGUGGACCAAUCUCCGUUGAGACUGCGGAAGUUCAUUCCCCGAACUGAGCAACAAACGAGAUGGGUUUUCUCAGGUCGAGAGGAAGACGAUUGAAAGUGGCGUCGUAAAGGAGCAGCAGUUGGAGACGAAUGUCUUUCCGUGCCGUUCCGUGUUUUUUCUUCUGCGUUCCAGAAGUCCUUAGAACGACAAGCGCAACAGCGUCCCUCCUCACUUUCCCGCUCGUGUUCACCAGAACGCGCUCUUCUUCCGCCAGAGCCCGAAAACUGACUGGUGCAUGCGCUCAACCUUUUCCUUAAAUCGUAGUCCACACAGCCCACAGAGAGCGGCGGCCUGCGCGGCGCUCUCCGGAAAUGAAAGACGUCUCUGCUCUGUCGUUCCUUUUCAGCGACAGGUGAGUUCGUGGAAACUCCCGGCGGACGCGGCGAGAGGAAAAGUUUCGAUGUGCGUUUCCGAGGCACGCUCAGACAGCAGAGACACCCGAAAGCUAGCGAGGCAGCGGAAAGCGGAGAAACGACUGCGGAGAAAGUCUGAAUCGAACGGCAGGUGAAGGCACUGGAAGGCCAGGGAAGGCGAUAGCAGUUCGCCAGCGAGGCAAGGAAGGGAAACGGAGGGUGGGAAAACCCCAAAAGAGGAAGAAGGAGUCGGUAUGUGAGUGAAGACGGGAAUAACGAAGCGAGAGAAGGAGAGAGGCUACUCAGGGAUUUGAAGGCACUUGCGCGUCUAGGCGCAGAAAGGUCUUUUCUCCAUGCGUGGACAGUUGAGGGGGCGUGUGGAAGGAAAACGAGAAAGGUGGUCGCGGUAGAUGUCCGAGAACUUUGUGCGUCCAGAGAACGUG